CAAACCCGGGAGUUUGAUUUAUUUCUUAAAUUCAGACAUGAAGGCUAUUCGGUGUGGCAUGGAUUUUCUAUUUCUCCCCAAGUCCAGGAUUCCAUGCUAUUUCACAGUUACCUGCUUACGUCAGUCAAUUUACUUGUCUGCUUCAAGGUAGGUGGGUACAUCUUGGACUGAUGGAACACCAGGUAAUGGCCUCACUUUAAAAACGGAGAAACUGAGGCUCAGUUGGUCCUAUCUGUCACAUUUGCUUAAUAUACAUAUUAAUAUACAUGUACAUAUAUAUAUAUUUAAAGAGGUGAGCUGGAAGGGAAAGUCUGAGGAGAGACUCUCAAGUCAGGAGACAUUGCCCAGGGUCUCAUUGGCUGUUUGUUGACUGAACCGUUGAAGCCAUCUCUUCUUGGUUUCCUCAAUUAUAAAUUUUGAGUGUUGAGAUACAUAGCUUCAGAUAUUCUGUCUACUUCAUUCUUUGAUUUUUUUCCCCCCUCACAAAAGAUAAGAGGCUCUACUGGCAAAGAUGAAUGGUUGAAUUCUCUUAGGAGUCCACAUCUCAGCAGAGUUUAUAUACCAUCAAUAACUUGUUCAAAACACACAGGAAUCAUUUUCUUAGUUGUCUGUUGGUUAAUAUGAAGCUAAUGGGACUACUGUGUGAUCUUUCUAAUUUAAAUAGAAUGGACUAAAAAUCGGAUUGAUCCUUUAGUAGGCAUCUCAGUUUUGGCUGUUUUCAGCAUGUAAUCCCAUGUUUUGUGGAAAGGUAUUUUGCUCUAAAGUCUGAGUUGUUUAUGUAUAGUAAAGAUUACAGCUGACCUCUGUUCACGAUUACUGCAGGUAGUUUCUAUUAUGUAGGGAUUUCUCAGUGAUUGUUUUUGGUUAUUUGUUGUGGGCCCUCUGGAUCCCAUUGGAGAGCACAUGGUAACGAAGUAACCAGGAAACAGUGGCCUCCAUCGUUUCUACAAACGAGAUAAAUGAAGACACAUGCUGCCUAUGCCAGAACGACCACACCUGUCAUUUGAAGUCUGGGGAUUGAUUGGGAAGAAGAGGAACUGGAGAUUGUGUUCUCUCACACAGAACCCAACAGAAGUCACAUGAUUCAAGUUAACACAUCUAUGUAACAAAACCCAGACAAAAACUCCAUACAUCAAAGCUUGACAACGUGAUAUUUACAUGAUAUUUUGAAGGACUUUGGAACCAUUGAAAGACAAGCUUUGGAGUGGAGUUUGACUUUAUAAGUUAUCCCAUUCACCUCAUCUUCUUGAGAGAACCCCUAAGAACAUCCCUGAGUGGUGGAAAAUGGAGCAUGUUCAAUCAAGAACAGCCAAGUACUCAGGGGACUGCUAUAAAUGACACCGUUAGCUGCUAUGAUGCGAUCACCAUGUGCCUUUCAUAAGACCCAAACCAACAA
rnacentral:lncRNA from 1 species